AUUGAACGCUGGCGGCAGGCCUAACACAUGCAAGUCGAACGGCAGCACGGCAGUAGCAAUACUGUGGGUGGCGAGUGGCGGACGGGUGAGGAAUACAUCGGGAUCUACCCUGUUGUGGGGGAUAACGUAGGGAAACUUACGCUAAUACCGCAUAAGAACUGAGGUUGAAAGCGGCGGACCGCAAGGCGUCGCGCGAUUGGAUGAACCGAUAUCCGAUUAGCUAGUUGGCGGGGUAAAGGCCCACCAAGGCGACGAUCGGUAGCUGGUCUGAGAGGACGACCAGCCACACUGGAACUGAGACACGGUCCAGACUCCUACGGGAGGCAGCAGUGGGGAAUAUUGGACAAUGGGCGCAAGCCUGAUCCAGCCAUGCCGCGUGAGUGAAGAAGGCCUCGG
rnacentral:rRNA from 1 species